rnacentral:lncRNA from 1 species
GGAAACAAAACUCUGAAUUGCAUGUCAGAGUGAUCAGGUUGAGUUAAAAUAUUUGGUUGGAAAUAACAGGAAUCACCUCAAGGGGCUUAUGCAAAAGAGGGGAAAUAUUUUAUAGAAGGUGUAAGAGGGUGCCAGUGUUGCCAGGGGCAGGAGUGAAGCCAGCCUCUCUCUCUCUCUCUCUCUUUCUCUCAUCUCUGCCCUUUUGCUUCCUUUUCUCUCUAUAGACAGACUUCCUGUCCUUUUCCAUUUCUCCUUGCAAGGGGAAAGAUAACCUCACCUCAUCCCCACCCCCACCUCCAUGUUCUAGGUCUAGUCACCUAAGAAAGGUUGAAUCCCUCAGUUUUAGUUCCAGAUUUCUUGGGAUGAGACUGACUGGUCCAAUCAGCUGUGGUCAGGGGGGUUGGAUCAAGCUGUAGAAACAAGCCUGACUCAGCUCCACUCCUGUGAUAUGGGGUUGUAGUGUCUGAAAGCCAAGGGGAAGGAGGAACAAUAGGAAUAGACAGAUUCCACAAAAGAUGUUCUGUAAUAUUUUUGUCAGACAGACAUAUUGGCACUGGUGGCUGUUUUUUAACCAAAGAAAAUGAUUAAAAUCCCUUUGCAGCAUGCUGCAUCUUUGAGGUUCUUGUUACAAUGACUUGGUAUAAGUCAGUCAGAUGACUAAGGAGAAUCUAGGUGAUAUCAAAGUGUUUUACGCUGCUGUUUGAUUUUUUCCUUUGGGAUGAGAGAGAGUAACUGAAAUUGUAUUGCAACUCUAGCAUUCUCUUCUUAUGUUAAAUAUUCCUUCCUGGAAUAGUGGCAGUGGUACUGUUAGAAGAUUAAAACAAAAAUACAAAAUUCUACCUUCAAACCAAGAAAUAAUUCCGGUUAGAAUUAUGGUAACUUCUUAGGGAUUUACAAAGUUUCCUUAAAUUUGUGUCUUUCAAGUUUAGCCUUGCUUUUAAUUUGAUACAGUAAGUAUUCUGAGUUGAUUCGUUUUUGUAAUUUCUGAGGUAAGCUUUGUGGCAGGGACUAGGUUUUGACAUGUAGUUUGAUAGUUUAUACUGCACUCUCAAUAUUUAGAAAGUAAUAAUUAAUAGGUAUUGAAUGUUUGGCACGAAACUCCAACUCUAGGUGUAAUUAACUUUAAGAGCUAUUUUGGUGUAUGGUGAAAGUGAGAUGUGAAAAACAUUUCAUCACUUCUUAGAUGGAGUCAGGAAUGCAUCCAUUGGCUGAAAACAUAUUGAAAUUUUGAAUAUGUAGAUGUAAUUGCCUGAUGAAUGUGAACAUCACAUGCUUUAAUGUUAAAAGUUCUAAGAACAUUUACCUUGAGUUAAUAUCACUGAGGUCGGAUUAAGAGUUUAGGGAUCCUGGGGAGUUCCCAUUGUGACUCAGUGGUACUGAACCCGACUAGUAUCCAUGAGGAUGUGGGUUUGAUCCCUGGCCUCACUCAGUGGGUCAGGGAUAUAGCGUUGCUGUGAACUGUGGUGUAGGCCGGCAGCUGUAGCUCUGAUUCAACCCCUAGCCUAGGAACUUCCACAGGCUACAAGUGUGGCCCUAAAAAGAAAAAAGAAAAAAAAAGGGUUUAGAGGUCCUAGAGUACCCUAGUGGCUAGUGGGUUAAAGACAGAAUAUUGUAAAUCAACUACAAUAAAAAAAUUAAAAUCUUAAAAGAAAAAAAACAAGAUCCGGUUACUGUUGUGGCUUGGAAUCAUUCCCUAGCCAGGGAGCUUCCACAUGCCACAGGCGUAGCCAAAAAAAAAAAAAAAAAAAAAAAA